rnacentral:rRNA from 1 species
UACGGAGGGGGCUAGCGUUGUUCGGAAUUACUGGGCGUAAAGCGCACGUAGGCGGCUUUGCAAGUCAGAGGUGAAAGCCCGGGGCUCAACCCCGGAAUUGCCUUUGAGACUGCAUCGCUAGAAUUGUGGAGAGGUAAGUGGAAUUCCGAGUGUAGAGGUGAAAUUCGUAGAUAUUCGGAAGAACACCAGUGGCGAAGGCGACUCACUGGACAGGUAUUGACGCUGAGGUGCGAAAGCGUGGGGAGCAAACAGG